rnacentral:rRNA from 1 species
AGUGAACGCUGGCGGUAGGCCUAACACAUGCAAGUCGAACGGCAGCACAGUAAGAGCUUGCUCUUACGGGUGGCGAGUGGCGGACGGGUGAGGAAUACAUCGGAAUCUACUUUUUCGUGGGGGAUAACGUAGGGAAACUUACGCUAAUACCGCAUACGACCUACGGGUGAAAGCAGGGGAUCUUCGGACCUUGCGCGAUUGAAUGAGCCGAUGUCGGAUUAGCUAGUUGGCGGGGUAAAGGCCCACCAAGGCGACGAUCCGUAGCUGGUCUGAGAGGAUGAUCAGCCACACUGGAACUGAGACACGGUCCAGACUCCUACGGGAGGCAGCAGUGGGGAAUAUUGGACAAUGGGCGCAAGCCUGAUCCAGCCAUACCGCGUGAGUGAAGAAGGCCUUCGGGUUGUAAAGCCCUUUUGUUAGGAAAGAAAAACAGCAGGUUAAUACCCCGCUGUUCUGACGGUACCCAAAGAGUAAGCACCGGCUAACUUCGUG